rnacentral:piRNA from 1 species
UUAGCUAUGAGUGGACACAUCUUGGGUU